rnacentral:rRNA from 1 species
AGUGAACGCUGGCGGUAGGCCUAACACAUGCAAGUCGAACGGCAGCACAGAGGAGCUUGCUCCUUGGGUGGCGAGUGGCGGACGGGUGAGGAAUACAUCGGAAUCUACUCUGUCGUGGGGGAUAACGUAGGGAAACUUACGCUAAUACCGCAUACGACCUACGGGUGAAAGCAGGGGAUCUUCGGACCUUGCGCGAUUGAAUGAGCCGAUGUCGGAUUAGCUAGUUGGCGGGGGAAAGGCCCACCAAGGCGACGAUCCGUAGCUGGUCUGAUAGGCUGAUCAGCCACACUGGAACUGGGACACGGUCCAGACUCCUACGGGAGGCAGCAGUGGGGAAUAUUGGACCAGGGGCGCAAGCCUGAUCCAGCCAUACCGCGUGGGUGAAGAAGGCCUUCGGGUUGUAAAGCCCUUUUGUUGGGAAAGAAAUCCAUCUGGUUAAUACCCGGGUGGGAUGACGGUACCCAAAGAAUAAGCACCGGCUAACUUCGCGCCAGCCGCCGCCGUAA